CUUCCUCGGAUUUGCAAGUGUAUCAAGCGGAGAGGUAAACCGCACAUUGAGCGGUAUUCAUCAACACCGCAGAAGCCUUGCCCGGUAUUCAUCUACACCGGUCACCAUUUGACCGGAUUAGGGUUCUGAUCCAUUCAGCAGCAACUAAGCAGCAGCAACAGCAGGAUCUGUUUUGCAUCUUGUGCUGUGUUUGUGGUGUUUGAAGCAGUGAUGUUUUUAUGCAGAUUCACAGUAACAGCAGUAGCUCCACAACAAGUUUAUCACAGCAGUUCAACAGAUUGCAAAACAGCACAGGAAUCUGUCAAAAUCUGUUGGUGUGAAGACUGCAGUCGACAGCGGAAAAGAAAGCAGCAGUAGUACUUCAAAGUACAAUUUGAAAGGCUUUAAGGCAUAGCAAAGAUUGGGCAGUGAGGAGACUUAGUCAUAUACUGCAGUAGCUAACACAAUCACAGAUUGGCUUUGUGGAAUUAACAUCAAGUCACARUAGUUCAAGUGAAGUAUCUGAUACGAGUAGAAUUCAAGUGAAUUUUUGGAUACACUUCAGAGAGCAGUUAGAUCAUUUUUUUUAAGUGUAAUAUAUGUAUUGUAAAGCGUUGAUACUGUGUGAUUUGGACUUAAAGUCAGAAUUUUGGACUUGGU